rnacentral:rRNA from 1 species
CCUACGGGUGGCUGCAGUAGGGAAUCUUCCGCAAUGGACGAAAGUCUGACGGAGCAACGCCGCGUGAGCGAAGAAGGCCUUCGGGUCGUAAAGCUCUGUUGUUAGGGAAGAACAAGUACCGGAGUAACUGCCGGUACCGUGACGGUACCUAACCAGAAAGCCACGGCUAACUACGUGCCAGCAGCCGCGGUAAUACGUAGGUGGCAAGCGUNGUCCGGAANUAUUGGGCGUAAAGCGCGCGCAGGCGGUUCCUUAAGUCUGAUGUGAAAGCCCACGGCUCAACCGUGGAGGGUCAUUGGAAGCUGGGGAAUUUGAGUGCAGAAGAGGAGGGCGGGAUUCCACGUGUAGCGGUGAAAUGCGUAGAGAUGUGGAGGAACACCAGUGGCGAAGGCGGCUCUCUGGUCUGUAACUGACGCUGAGGCGCGAAAGCGUGAGGAGCAAACAGGAUUAGAUACCCGAGUAGUC